ensembl:lncRNA novel transcript, antisense to FBXO38
CAAUUAUAUUAGCUUCUAAAAUGGCUUUAACACUCCACAGGGCCAUAAAUUAAAAACCAAAGAACUCAAACGUUACAUUUUUUGAACUGAUUUUUAAAAAUCUUUAACAUUCAAGUUUCUUCCUUUAUUAGUUUGGAUUUUUCUCUUUAAAAAACAUGCCGGAUUAAAAAUAAUUUGGGCCGAGUGUGGUGGCUCAUGCCUGUAAUGCCAGCACUUUGGGAGGCUGAGGCGGGAGAAUGGUGUCAACCCGGGAGGCGGAGCUUGCAGUGAGCCGAGAUCGCGCCACUGCACUCCAGCCUGGGCAACAAAGCAAGACUCCGUCUCAAAAAAAAAUAAAAAAAAAAUAAAAAAUUAGCUAGGCAUGGUGGCAGGUGCUUGUAAUCCCAGCUACUGGGGAGGCUGAGGCAGGAGAAUCACUUGAACCCGGGAGGCGGAGGCUGCAGUGAGCCAAGAUGGUGUCACUGCACUCCAGCCUGGCUGACACAGCGAGAAUUCGUCUCAAAAAAAAAAAAAA